rnacentral:rRNA from 1 species
UACGUAGGGGGCUAGCGUGGUCCGGAAUCAUUGGGCGUAAAGCGCGUGUAGGCGGUCCGGUAAGUCCGCUGUGAAAGUCGGGGGCUCAACCCUCGGAUGCCGGUGGAUACUGUCGGGCUUGAGUACGGAAGAGGCGAGUGGAAUUCCUGGUGUAGCGGUGAAAUGCGCAGAUAUCAGGAGGAACACCAAUUGCGAAGGCAGCUCGCUGGGACGUUACUGACGCUGAGACGCGAAAGCGUGGGGAGCAAACAGG